rnacentral:rRNA from 1 species
UACGUAGGGUGCGAGCGUUGUCCGGAAUUACUGGGCGUAAAGAGCUCGUAGGUGGUUUGUCGCGUUGUUCGUGAAAACCGGGGGCUUAACCCUCGGCGUGCGGGCGAUACGGGCAGACUGGAGUACUGCAGGGGAGACUGGAAUUCCUGGUGUAGCGGUGGAAUGCGCAGAUAUCAGGAGGAACACCGGUGGCGAAGGCGGGUCUCUGGGCCGAUACUGACGCUGAGGAGCGAAAGCGUGGGGAGCGGACAGG